rnacentral:rRNA from 1 species
GACGAACGCUGGCGGCGUGCUUAACACAUGCAAGUCGAACGCUGAAGCAUCCAGCUUGCUGGGUGUGGAUGAGUGGCGAACGGGUGAGUAACACGUGAGUAACCUGCCCCUGACUUCGGGAUAAGCCUGGGAAACUGGGUCUAAUACCGGAUGUGACUACUGGCCGCAUGGUCUGGUGGUGGAAAGGGUUUUACUGGUUGGGGAUGGACUCGCGGCCUAUCAGUUUGUUGGUGGGGUAGUGGCCUACCAAGACGACGACGGGUAGCCGGCCUGAGAGGGCGACCGGCCACACUGGGACUGAGACACGGCCCAGACUCCUACGGGAGGCAGCAGUGGGGAAUAUUGCGCAAUGGGGGGAACCCUGAUGCAGCGACGCCGCGUGCGGGAUGACGGCCUUCGGGUUGUAAACCGCUUUCAGUAGGGAAGAAGCGAAAGUGACGGUACCUGCAGAAGAAGUACCGGCUAACUACGUGCCAGCAGCCGCAGUAAUAC